rnacentral:rRNA from 1 species
AUUGAACGCUGGCGGCAGGCUUAACACAUGCAAGUCGAGCGAGCGGCGGACGGGUGAGUAAUGUCUGGGAAACUGCCUGAUGGAGGGGGAUAACUACGGGAAACUGUAGCUAAUACCGCGUACCAUAGGAUGAGCCCAAGUGGGAUUAGGUAGUUGGUGAGGUAAAGGCUCACCAAGCCUACGAUCUCUAGCUGGUCUGAGAGGAUGACCAGCCACACGGGGACUGAGAAACGGCCCAGACUCCGACGGGAGGCAGCAGUGGGGAAUAUUGCGCAAUGGGGGCAACCUGACGCAGCCAUGCCGCGUGAAGGAAGAAGGCCUUCGGGUUGUAAAGUUCUUUCGGUAGCGAGGCGUUAACUACAGAAGAAGCACCGGCUAACUCCGUGCCAGCAGCCGCGGUAAUAC